CGGCCGGAGGUGGUGGCGGGCCGGGCUCGCUGCGCGGCCUCCUCGGCGCAGUGCAAGCAACCGGGCCGUGACCCCGCUUCUUCCCCUACCCUAUUAAACAAGGAGCUGCAGGAGCGGCAGCAUGUGUCCUAUUUGCAGCGCUGAAAUGGCACUGGGACAUUUGGGCACGGACGGAGUAAAACGGGUGGUGCCCUGGUGUGCUGAAGGGCUGAAAAAGGAUCACUGCUACCGUAAACCAGUACGGAGGUACGUUCAUCAGCAGAGAGGCAUUGCUGGAUUAAAAUAAGGUGCAGAUGAAACAGAAACUCGCUGAGGAAAAAUAUCCCAGGUCAGAAGGUCACAGCACUUGGAAAAUGAUCACACAAGAAAAAAUCCAUUGGAAUGUACCUUUCAGGAGGUCUUGUUGGCAGCAUCAAGAGAGAAUAGGAUUUGUCGCACCAACACAGAACCAAGACUAAGCUGCAGCCCUGUAUACGGAACUGCUGAAAGAGGAAGCUGCAAUACUUGCAGAGAAAGCAGUCAGUCUUGACUGCACCAGACCAUGCCUCUCACAGAAGUCAAAUGAUGUCUUACUUCAAAAACUUCAUGAACUGCAAACUCAGUGAUUCAGUGUUCUUAGAGCGGUUACACUUGAAUAACUGGGGAGAGGGAAACUUACAUCAAAUUAAGAUUUAUAGUUUGAUUUACUCUGAAGACUACAGAAGUAAAAAGAAAAUAAAAGGGCAUAAACAUUCUUUUAGCAUACAGGGCUUUUUCCUUCUACUAGCAGGACAAGCUUUUUACAUAAAUGGUGAACUAAAACUUAACAAGGACAGAACAGAACUUAGAGAAUAACAUUUUUUCACAGCUAGAAAAAGCCUCUGAAAAUGUGAAGUUGCCAGUAGAAAGGAAUGCAACAGCUAAGUACAUAAUACAGCAAUACUUGUAUAUUAUUGCAACAGCAAUAAUAGAUUUCUAUCACUAAAUCAGUAGAACACAAAGUGCUUACAAAGGUGAGCUCUGAUCUCAUGUUAGUUAUAGUGCUCCACACACUGAAUGAGUAUAACUCUAUCUUCACCUCUGUCUGCAGAAGUAAGGUAUGCUUCAGGUUGUAAACUUGGGUGCUUUUCAUGAUUGAAGUAAUAGAUUGGACCUUUUGCUUUAUACUGUAUGUGUUUAGAUUAAGACAAAUGUGUGGUAACGUGUUCUGGUUUUACUCCACAGUGCUUCACAGUUGCCUGCAAGAUCUGGUAGGACGGUGACAGUACCACAUUUCCUUGGACAAGUAUCAGAAAUUCAACUUGAACAAAGCGGGAUUAAGUUGUACUCAUUUUAGAAGAGCAUUCCUAUCCAGCAUAUGGACAAGACAGUAUGAAGAAGCACACUGUUUAAAUUGACAAUGAUUUAUUGUGUUUAGGAACAUUCAAUAAAUAUCAGUCUUUUAGCUUCA